UACACCUACCAUUAAUAAUAGGGUCUAACAAGAUGUGAAUUGUUCUUUUGAAAUUUUCUAGGCCAUGCCAUGCCCUACUGCAUCUGAAUGGUUAGUUGUUGCGUCCCAAUUCAAAGUUUCCUUCUGCUUACCACUUUAAGACAGACUGUCAGAAAUCCGUCUUCAGUUUGUACGAAAACAUUUUAAAAUAAUAUGUAUUUUUACAUAUAUUUGUCCUAAUCGUCCACUUGCUGUUGAAUUGCAAAAUGACAACUCAACAGAUGGUUAGAUUGUUUGCUCUCAAAUUGAAUGGAAUUAUUAAAGUUUAUAUAGUAGCUAUAUAAUUGUCGGCCGACUCACUAAAGAAUUAUAACAGUCUAUUGCACUCCAAUAGCCUGUUUUUCAUCUACCGGUAAUUUGUGUAUAAUACACAUGAGAUAUCAAGGAUAAUGAUAAUGUGUUUUUUCUAACUUGUAUUGUGAUCAGUCAGUGUUAAGUUACACAUUUAUUAUUGAUGUUUUUAAUGAAAACAUAUUUUUUUAACUUGUGAUGAGCCAUGUGUUGAAUAAUACAUUUGUUAGUAAUGUUUUUAUUUUAUCAUAGUUUUCCCAUCAUCAGUGGUGGCCCCGGGGGGCCUCACUCUUAAAUAUUCUAUACGGGGAGAUGCCGCAUUUAGGGGGUAUAUUUUCGAGGACUUGGUAGCACAAGUUUGAGAAUGAAAUCGGUAGUUAAAGUCCCUGUACCCUUUUGGUAUGGCCACGAGAUCACGACCAGACGGAACACCUUUUGCCAUCGGGAACCAGUAAAUAUUGCGUCCUCUUUGGCACUAUUAAGUUGCCUUUUUCCUGUCGUCUUUUAGAGCACAGUAUGAUUUUGGCUAAUGGUAGUUCAAGUCCAUAAGAAUUUUCAGUAAAAUAGGUAGCGCAAGUGUCCAUGACUUGUAAAUACAUAUGAGAUGAAAUUUCAACAUUACUGUAAAUGGAAAAGGAGUUCUAAGUCUUUUAAUUUAUCUUCACUUCAUAUUUUGGUAUAUUUGAUUAUUGUUAUUUUUCUAAAUGCUUUCACUACUUAAAAUUUUAUUUGGAAAUUUUCCAAGGAGAAACUGAUACAAAUUUUUGUAUUAUAUAUUUAAAAAAUUCAAGAAUUCUACUCUGAAAGGUUUUACAAAGAGAAAAGUAUUUACUGGUAAUUAUGUAGGAGUAUCUUAGCUCAGAUGUUUUAAGAACUGGGACUUACUGUCAUUAUUCAUGUGACCGUAAGUUUUGGCUGCGUCAUUGGUAGAUUCUUACAACUGACAUACUUCACCGCCCUUUGAGCUACAGAAGAGGAUCUUAAGGAGUUCACAAUUGUGAAUAAACAAAGCUGUCAUGGAUCCUAAGAUAAAAGGCUUUUAAAUUAGUUUUAAAAUCGUAGAAUCACAGCAGGAUCUGGUAAGAAAAUCAGAGAAUAGAUAAACUAAAUUCCUUAGCAAAUUUAACUAGUCUAAAGUUCUAAAAUGGCAACUUGUACAAUGAUGAAAGGGACAACCAAAAAAAAAAAAACUCAAAAGACCUUGUAAAUCAAGGUGUCCGAAGUAAGAAAACACACACAAAGGCAAAAAUUCCAAGACCAAUAAGUGAAUAAAUAAAAAAAAGUGAAUAAAUUAUUUUUUUUUAAAUAAUAAUAUUAAUAAAUAAUAAUAAUAUUAAUAAAUCUCCUAUAGUCACAAUAUAGAACAUAGGGAAUGUAGGGAAAAAGUACAGUAUGACUACCCACUUUUUGUAUUCUUUUAUCAAAUGUUUUGACCAUUAAUGUGCUGUUUUGAGUAAGAAACAUUAAUCUGAUGAAAUUUUGUAAAAUUUAAUACACAAAAUAUAAACUGAUAGCUACAAUGAAGAUAUCUUGUGCGAGACUAAACAAAAUUCCCCAGCUUUCUGAUUUUGCAGAUAUGUAGCAUAAUUUGUUGACCACUAUUUCUACUUUCAAUGUGAUCAUUCCUCAUUUAGAAGCUCUUGCUGAAACACUGUAAUUUAAAUAGAAUUUAAAAUUGAUCUAUUUUGUUUCUGGUGAUAUUGCAGGGACCUCAACUGUAUAAACAGAAUUUACUCCAUGGAGUUGUUAUUUAGACUCCCUGGACUAACUAGUCAAUAUAUUAUGUUUAUUUGCAGUGAACUAUUUGUAGCACUUGAAAAGGAAUAUUUUGAGUGAGGCUUUAUCAUAUUAUCGUAAAGCUUCUUGUUAUCAUAUUGUUCCCUACAGGCCAGUCGGACUAUAAAUGGAGUUGAAGAAGGACCCAGCACAUCAAUAUUAGCGUCUGUCGUAUGAUCGUAUUUACGCCUGCCUGCACACUUACCUUGAUAAUGAAAACUUUUGCAUGCUUGCAUUGAUGUUCUUUGAAGCACGAUAGACGGUACUUUGGCACGCUUCAGACAUUCUCCUAAUAAAUAUAAAUGAUGACAUUUGCAAUUAGCAGUUAGCAGUUGAAUGACGACCACGCAGAGUGAUGAAGCAAUUCUGGAAUAUAUUAUGUAAUGAAAUACAUAUGCUGAAGUUUGCUUUAAGAAUGCAGUGGCCUAAGUCUAUUACAGAAAGCUUGCCAUUUCUCUCAACAUUUCUUGUUAGAGACUUAAAUUCAUGUCUUAAUUAAUUAUUGGUAUGUAUGUUGUUAUGAUUGUGCAAUACUUACUAUACAUUAUGCAAAUAUUUUUGCUAGAUCUCUGUCGUUUUCAGUGUUCAUCAAGAUAAAAUUCAACUUAAAAUCUGUAAUUUACUAUAUUUUUGGACCAAUAUAUUCUAUCUGCUCUUGCCUACUAAUGGCUAAAAACAUAGAACCUAUAAGAUCAGCUUCAUUACUUAGAACAACCCUAUGGAAUCGCAUCCUUAGCAAUCUCACUCAAGUAGAUAUGUGAAAUUAAAUCCAUAACUGAAGUACAUUAAGAAGUCCCAUAUCCUGUAUGUAUACUUAACAUUGUGUGCACAUACCAAUACCAAUGUUAUCAAUACCAGAAUUAAGUUUUUACAAUCUUCCGUGUAUGUAAAUGUUUCAAUGGACAUAUUUUUUGUUUUAAUGAAAAUUCCAAAGAAGUGAAAUUGAUUCCAUAACUGAAAACUUCAAUUAUUUAAACUCAAAACUUUCACAGGGAAUUAAUAGUAUAGUAAUUGUUAUUUUAUAUUAAGAUGUCGUAGGUAAUUUUUUCUUAUUUCAUUUACAGUUUUCCAAACGGCUUAUAAUUUAUUCUUAGUUGGGAAAACCGUUGGGUAGGGGCAUGCAUUUAUCAUUAAGUAUCAGUGGUCGUUUCAGACCUAGCAAUAUGUCAUUGAUCCAGAGUAGCCCGGACUGAAAUUAUUUAGUGCCAAAAUCAGUAAAAACUUCAAGAACUUGUUUCAUUUCAUUUUCAUAUACUUUUUUCUAAUAGAAUCCCUGUAGAACUUAAAAGCAAAGUAAACUCACAGGAAUAUAUUGCUGUACAUGAUAUAGCAUAUAAGCUGACCAUAUCUCUAUUUCUUCAUUCCGUACCAUGGACAUGCAUCUUUUGGAUAGCAUAUUUGUUUCUUCGGUAUAUUAUCUAAUUUGACUGAAAUGGGUCAAAACACAAGCUGGUACAUUAUACAAUAAGAUCUCUUCUAUUUCAGUAUCAUAAAUGACCAUUUUGUUCCAGUUUCAUUAUAUAGACCAAAGGUUGGUAUAUCUCAACUAACUAAUAAUAAAUUCAAGUGUAAGUUUUUUAAAUUAAUGUGUAUAUAAAUAUAGGCUACAUCAAUAAAAAAAAAAUUAUACUGUAGUUUAUUAUGUUUAUAUCAUAUAUGUCUUAUUGAGAAGAUAUAUUUGUGAAAAAGUAAUAAUAUCUCUCUUCUCAGAGCCUCGCUUUUCUGUUACGGUAAAUAUCACAACUGUCAUCAUGUUAUGAUAUUUAUAUACAAGUAUGAAAAAUUGAGUUUGUGAUCAAGUUCCCAGGCUUCCUGAUUGCGUAGUUAUAUGCAGGUCAACCGAUCUCUGCACGCUCACGUGCGCUCUCAGGUAAUAUUUUUAGAUGAAUUUGAGUUAGGCCUCGAGUUGAGGUCUGUUGUCGUUUCUCAUCGCUAAUUGAUGAGUUGCUGCAGGGCAAGUGCCUCAUUUAGAUCUUACUACUUGUAGGUUUUAUCAAUUACGAUAUGAUCCUGUUAUUGAAACUGUGGCACUCAUCUGGGACGUACCAAGUCAUUCAAAUUUAAUAGGCAGGUAUUUGCAUACCUAGUUGUAUAUUAUAUGUAUAUUAGAUUGAUUAUGUUGUUUAUUCAAUGGUAUCUUAUGCAAGUUGUUCUAGUUGUAACCUUCAAAAAAAUAACAAUACAAAGCAGUGACUUAUAUUAUUUAAGUAUUAAAUUUAGUAUGUAAUUAUAUUAAGACAAUAUUUAAUUGUGCAACUGUUUCUAACCAAUAAAGUGAAACCAGACUAUACUGCCUCUUAAUUCUAUGAUUAAAUGUUAAUUAUGUAUACAUUAUGAUGAAUUCAGUAGACUUGGUAUGUUAAUUCAGCAGGUCCAUUUUAAUUAUAAUGAAGCGUGCACUCAAUAAAUUUAGGAUAUACAUUGUUUCUAUCAGGAGUUUACAGUUUGGAAGACUUUCAUUGAUGUGUUUAUAUUGUAAUCAAAACAAAUUACUUAUCAUGAUUACCAGUGAGCAAGUACUAGUACUUAACUGUUAAAGAGUUAUUUUUAACAAGUAGUACAAGUACUGUAGUAGUAUUGAAAUGGUUACACCCAAAUAGGAUUUCUGUUUUUUGGACAAUAAAUUAAUCUUGAAUCUUGAA